CCUACGGGAGGCAGCAGUGAGGAAUAUUGGACAAUGGGCGCAAGCCUGAUCCAGCCAUGCCGCGUGCAGGAAGACGGUCCUAUGGAUUGUAAACUGCUUUUAUACAGGAAGAAACACCUCUACGUGUAGAGACUUGACGGUACUGUAUGAAUAAGCAUCGGCUAACUCCGUGCCAGCAGCCGCGGUAAUACGGAGGAUGCAAGCGUUAUCCGGAAUCAUUGGGUUUAAAGGGUCCGUAGGCGGUUUAAUAAGUCAGUGGUGAAAGCCCAUCGCUCAACGAUGGAACGGCCAUUGAUACUGUUAAACUUGAAUUAUUAGGAAGUAACUAGAAUAUGUAGUGUAGCGGUGAAAUGCUUAGAGAUUACAUGGAAUACCAAUUGCGAAGGCAGGUUACUACUAAUAUAUUGACGCUGAUGGACGAAAGCGUGGGGAGCGAACAGGAUUAGAUACCCUGGUAGUCCACGCCGUAAACGAUGGAUACUAGCUGUUCGGAGCAAUCUGNGUGNGUAGAGAAGUAGAUAAGUAUCCACCGUCGGGUAGGUACGUUCGUCGAAGAAGUAGUAACGUACGAAGUAAGUAGUAGUACGUACGUAGAGACGCGACGGACGGACGACGACGGAGGGAGGAGG
rnacentral:rRNA from 1 species